GGAAGAUAUAUUUCUGUUGUUCAACCCACCCAGUCUGUGGCACUCAGUUAUGGCAGUGGUACUUUGUUAUGGUACUUAGCAAACUCAUACAGUAGGUAAAUUAUUCUACCCUAUGACCCGAUUCUUUUGAGAUUUACUCAAGUCCUCGUAGUGUGCCCCAAUGGAUUUGUAAUAGAAACAGAAUGGAAGAACAAAGUACCCUGUUCUUUCUAAGGGCUUCUAUUCCCAUGGAGUCCUGACGGGUCUGCCAAACAAAGGGUGAUCACAUGAUCAAGACUAUGACAUCCUAAGAUUCCUUCCCACUACAACUGGCCCAGGGGAGACUUCUGGCUCAAGCUGUCAAUCAGCCUCUCCUAGGAUCUGAAACCUGACUCCACAGACUCCUCCAGCUCUUUCCUGUUGACAUGAUGUAUUUACUGAGAAGCUCUUCUCAUAGGGUGAACUGAAGCUGAGAAGGCAGUGUCGCACAGGCCUGAGUCUGGGAAGUGGACCCAGAGUUAACGAGCAAGAAGUCCACAGGUUAUAUUGAAUGGCUGCCCUCCUAUCUUGUCUGGAAGAGAUCCCCAGAGGACCCCAGCUCUCAGAGCCAGAAAUUGGUUUCUUCCUUCCAAGCAGACAUGACUCCCCAGACUCUGACCCUUGGGAUGUAUGCACAAAACAUUUCUUUCCAUUCCGUCACCCAGGUAUCCACCGAGGCUUCCCUGCCACUCUGGCACCUGCAACUGAAAUGCUGUCCCUGUGCUCUGUUCUUUUUGUAGUUUUUUCACUACCUCAUAUUACAUUCUAAGCUUAUAGGUUAACUUGCUCAUUAUUUGACUCCACCACUAAAAAUAUAAAUUCCAUGAGAGAAGGCAAUUUGCUCUCUUUUUCACGACUGGAUCGUCAGAGCUUAAACAGUGGCUGGAACAUACAGUGAAUUCAACAAGUACCUGUUAAAUGAAUAAAUGAUUUAAAUAACACAGUCACUCUGUGCAGCUGAACAAAAAACUCAGCUCUGAUUCAAGAACUACUAAAUAAUUAACUCUACAAAAAUAUUACUUGGAAAUGUUGAUUUUACUGAAGAUUUUGGAUGGGAAAUAGAGAAAGGAUUUAUAUUGGAACUCUUCAUUAAAAAUUGUUCAACCUCAUUCAUAACAAAAAGAAUGCAAAUUAAAAUCGGACCAAGAAGCCUGCAGAGCCUAGGAAGAGUAAACAGAACUGUGGAGAUGGGGAGAGAAAGGAGGGGAAGGGAGGUACCUGGCACAUAGCCCAAGGGAACGAGAAAAGUAUUUAUGUGGGAGAGGGGCAGAGAUGUGAGAUGUGUUACAUACAGGAGGGAUGCUCAAAUAAACAACUAUUUAAGGAUAAUGUGAGCUAAGUUUCUCACUGUCAGAGAAGGGAAUUAAAAAUACAGAAAAGGAGAAAACUAUAAUGAAUCAUGUGAUGUUGGAUAAGAAUUGAAGGUAUGGUAUCAACCUAUAGUUGUAAUGUAUAGAAAUAAAUAAAUAUAGAUGUAAACAUGUGUCUAUUAAG
rnacentral:lncRNA from 1 species